AUCUAAUUGUGUUGUCAUUAACACCAAAAUAAAUGAGGGGUCCUAGAUGCACUUUCAAUCUCCCCCUUUUUGGUGAUUGAUGACAACAUACUUAGAAGUA
rnacentral:misc_RNA from 1 species